CAACGUAGGAAUCCAACACUGCGGCCACUGUUUGCCCUUCGCUCUGGCCGUGAUGCCCCAAAAAUCAUUGUAUGCCUUACGGCAACAAUGUCCUUUGUGCCCCAGCCACUGUCAAAAGUAUGUUUGUAUUGUAGUUCACCAUUGAGAACAACCACAAGAACUACAUGCAGCUGUAGGAUUGGGAGAAGAUGAAGAAGGCAGAACCUGUAGGAAGGUGCUGUGGGUGACAGGAGAUGUCUAAAGAACUCAGAGAAGCCAGUUGUCCACUACUGACAUGUAGAAUAUGUUGCUCAAAUGUGCUGGCUAGGCAACCAAAGCCUUUCCAUUCCGAAUUAUUGACUGAAAUUAACCAACCAAUUGGUCAUAUUUCAUCUGUAAAUUUGCAGUUACAUCUGCAGUGUAAUGAAUGUGUUGUUUUUGAAAAGUAGUAGAUUACUGCUUGAAACAGGAUCACUUUGUCUGCUACCCUGCAUGGUGUUGAGCAUGCGAAUCGUGGGGUUUCAACAGAUGCUAGGGAGGCCAUCUGUGGAAUAAAAGCUUUUAAUCACAGAUAAGUUCAUUGGACAGUGCACCAAAGGUCUUUAAGUCUUUAAGCCCCUCUGGGGAACUUUCACACAGUUUACCACGCUGAUUUUUUUUUAAUUUGGUGCUACAUCAAAAGGCACACAUUUUUCUAAAUGCAAUUGAUGUUCCUGAUUGACCUGCACUGCCUGUCUGUUCUCCACCUGCUGGAGAAUCAUUUUGACCGGUUAGAGAGGGGACAGCAAUGAUCUUGACUUAGUGCUUUCUGACCCUGGAGUCAUAAAGGACUUUGGUGGAAGGCCGGUGCCUGUUAAUGAACCUUUCUGGGGAUUGUAUUGCAGUUUACCUCUACAGUGAAAAGACAAAGAAUCACACCAGACAAUGAUGGAGGAGGUGAGGAUGGACUAAAAUGUAUGCCCUCAAUCUCAGGGUGGAGCGCUGGUGAAUUAUUUUUGUAAUUUUUUCCACUGUAUUUUUGACUGCAUCAAGGCCAUCAGUGAAGAGAACAGCUAUAAAUCCCAGCAAUAGGGUUGCUAAGAAGAUGUUUAAAUCAGGAAUUAGGUCAGUCAUAUCUAAAUCAGGCUGGACAAGCAAUUCUCUAGUAAUGACUCAACUUUUGUCUGGAAAGACAGAUUGCAAAAUACAAAUCAGACAGAUGACUUACUGAAAACCAAAUCACUGGUUGUGAAAGUGGAACUGUUGAGCCAAAAUGCAUCCCCGAAAAAUGUGUGCUAUGUUAUGUUUGUGUUGAUAUGUUUUCCUUGCCGUCAAAACCACUCAUUUUCAAAUUGGAAUUUUCAUGGUUAACUGGUAUGAUUCUGAGAUUCUGCUUAUAGUUUAUGCAAAUAUAAGGAAUAUAUUACACAUCCAUAUUUACAGAAUUGCUUGUUAUUAGCAAAAGUCCCA
ensembl:lncRNA